CCAGUGACGUGCAUAUGGUCUGUCUGACAGCCGUCCAACCAUAGGUUCCUGCAGAGCAGUGCACAUUCUCACUCUGCACAAGCCAAGGCUCAAUGACACAACACCGGUGCAGAGCCAAACGGCCACUGGGCUUUUGUAUUGCCUUAAAUAAAUCUCACUUCGUGGAGAAAUAUCUUGCUCUCGACACUGAUGCCGCGCAGCAUCCCGGGGUUUGAGUAAAGCGACUCCAGACCCACCGGUGGCGUCCAUCUGCUCCCAGAGUUAUUCUUAUGAAUUCUGCAAUUAGAUGCGUAGUUAACUCUCGCUAUCCGUCAGUUUACGGCCGCGGCGCUGGCGAGUUCGGCGGUAAAGGCCACCAAGCUGUCAAGCGCUGGCACUAAGUCCAGAACAUUUUAUCUCUCGGCGCAAUGAGCCGUGCAGCGACGGAGCUGGAGGAUUUAUUUAAUGUCUGGUAAAGUUGCCAUGAUGCAUGUUUUCACAGUUUUUUGUUUUUUUUUUAACUUCAGUCAUUUAGUUUCUGAUUAAAGACCUGAAGGGUGAAUUGGCCUGUUGUUUGGAUCAAGUAAAACACGCUGCAGUGGAUGAACGUGUCAAGAGAAGGUGUGAAAACGGUUCAUAAGAGCCACUGGAGGUGUUUUCUGAGGGUCCGCGUGACCCCUGAGUGAUGACAUGAGGUGGAACAGCACAGGCAGCUUGGCAGACGCUCCCUGGAAACAACGCGGCCUCCUGCUCCUGAGUGGAAUCUGGAAAUUUAAUUCCAUUAGAAAUAAAUGAAUGGAACUACAGAACUAAAGAACAGGGAAUUAUUAUCUGCAAUUGGGAAUUUGAGGGGGUUUGGUCUCUUCUUCUUCUUCUCCUUCCUCCAUUAGGCCACAGAGAUGUGGCUGCCACAGCGUGUGCAGCUGUGACCAGCGCAUCCAGAGAGUUGAGGCGCUGUUUGGUAAUCCAUCACUCGAUUCACCGGCUCAAGAGGGCUGUGAAGCUACAGCAGCAGCCUCCUACGCAGCCCUCCGUCACCUCCCCCACACACGUCAGCCCUCCCAUCUGUUUGGCCAGCAAUUAAUACGAGCAAGGAAGCUGCAUUUCCACGACGGAUACAAACCAAUGGCAGGUCCAGAAAACGACGGCUACGGAUGCCCCUACUUGGCUGGUCCGGAUCGGAAGCCGAUAGCGAGGAGCGGCAGGAGACGAGAGAGAAUGAAACCGCAUCGCUGCAAGUGGACGUGGCAUUUGGGAAACAGGAGUGACGACGACGCAGAAAUGGGGGAACAAGAGAAGAGAAUCAGAGGAGGUGAGAAACACAAACUGCAAGGUACAAAAUGAGAUAAAAGGCAAGUAAAUAGUUUUUAGACUUACACACAAAAAAUAACUAUCCUUUCUAAAGCAGGGGCUCAGUGAAUCGAGUCAUGCUGUCGCCGGCCUCCUUCUCAAACAAAGCCGGGUGUGUUUAACAUCAUCCUUUUAGAUGUCUGUAUUACUGCAGCCGGUGUUUACCUCAGUGGGCUCAGAGCUAGCAUAACCCUCAACCCCACUGCAAAGAGCGAAGGAGUAACCAAACAGGGAGAACCGGCGCCGAGACAAAAGAUCAAAACAUGGAGCCAAAUUAAACCACAUGAGGAGUAUUUGGGGAGCAGACAGGGAGUAGUCUGACUCGCGCGGUACAAAAGAGGUUAGAGGGAAAUUGAUGUAGGAAGAUGUGGGACGAGGGGAAGAAAAGGCUCCACGCGGUGAUUGACAGGUGGCUGAGAAAUGAAAGUCAACCCGGUCGCUCUCAUCUGGGAACUUUUGUCGCAGCGUGCGAGGGGGAAGUGGCUGUGGCGGCGGCGGCGGCGCGCGCUACC